UCGGUUCUUUUUUUUAGUUCCUUGCUUCCCCAGGAUAACCGAGCCGACAAGGGAAGCUGAAUAAUCCGUAAGGAGCAACCUAUG
rfam:Photobacterium iliopiscarium strain ATCC 51761 CFSAN029430_contig0040, whole genome shotgun sequence.